AAUGUAUCCAGUAUGGAGGCAGAAAGAUGGAGAGAGCAGACAAAGAGCUCACAGUAAUCUGUGAUCUGUCCUGCCACACCCUGACCUACAAAGUAGGACAGGAUUCUUUGAAGCUGUUGGUCACCCAACUCACCCAGAUCUGGAGCUGAGGAGGUCCAUGGAGGAGACGAGGGAGGCCUGGAGCCCUCUGGAGGAGCAGGUGCUGCUACCGGGGACACCGAGGGAGGUGGAGGGGACUCCCGUGUGUGCAGUGCCUCCUCCAAGGGCGUGGUGUGCAUGGAGGGACCUGGGCAGACUGGCAAAACGCCCCUCUGCCAUCAUCCUCAACUCUGUAAGUGUGGACCUCUUCUCCUUUUCCCGAUCUUUGCUCUUGUUUACCUUUCAGUUUUAUAAACUUCUAUCCAAAGUAAUCCCUUUCAUAGUUUGUUAGAAUGACUGAGCUGUUGACUCGCUGACCGGCUGAAAGAACAUAAACUCACGCUCCUUCAGACAGGCAACAACAAGUAGCGCUGCACAAUCAGAAGCCCUGCCCUCCUCUUUC
rnacentral:lncRNA from 1 species